rnacentral:tRNA from 1 species
GCUCCUGUCGUUCAACGGAGAGGACGCCGGUCUACGAAGCCGGAGAUCAAGGUUCGAGUCCUUGCAGGAGCACCU